rnacentral:lncRNA from 1 species
GGGACAGGGACAGAAAUGUCUCAGACCUAGAGCUGUCUGCUGACCCCUGAAGAAGUCCCCUAAAUGGCAGCCCAUCCACCAAGGAGACAGGCUGAUUUCCAGGCAGGAGCUCCUUUUCCAGGGCACCCAGUCUCUCCAGAGAGACAGUGAUGGGGACAGAGGGAGGCUGACUCCAGUCAUGUCAGAAACAAGAAGGACCUAGAGACUGCGCUGGAGCCAACACGGAUCUCACACGAUCCCAAGCUCCUGGUGACGACAGUGUUAGGAAAAUAAGUGUAUUAAAUUGUUGGGAUCUAAUUCUCAUGAAAAACUGAAAGA